rnacentral:rRNA from 1 species
ACCUAGAGACCGGCGCACGGGUGCGUAACGCGUAUGCUAUCUACCUUUUACAGAGGGAUAGCCCAGAGAAAUUUGGAUUAAUACCUCAUAGUAUUAUUGAAUGGCAUCAUUUAAUAAUUAAAGUCACAACGGUAAAAGAUGAUCAUGCGUCCCAUUAGCUUGUUGGUAAGGUAACGGCUUACCAAGGCAACGAUGGGUAGGGGUCCUGAGAGGGAGAUCCCCCACACUGGUACUGAGACACGGACCAGACUCCUACGGGAGGCAGCAGUGAGGAAUAUUGGUCAAUGGGCGCAAGCCUGAACCAGCCAUGCCGCGUGCAGGAUGAAGCAUCUAUGGUGUGUAAACUGCUUUUGUACGAGAAGAAACACUCCUACGUGUAGGAGCUUGACGGUAUCGUAAGAAUACGGACCGGCUAACUCCGUGCCAGCAGCCGCGGUAAUACAUGAGGGUCCAAGCGUUAUCCGGAAUCAUUGGCUUUAAAG